CGGAGGGAAACCGAGUCUUAAUUGGGCGUUAAGUUGCAGGGUAUAGACCCGAAACCCGGUGAUCUAGCCAUGGGCAGGUUGAAGGUUGGGUAACACUAACUGGAGGACCGAACCGACUAAUGUUGAAAAAUUAGCGGAUGACCUGUGGCUGGGGGUGAAAGGCCAAUCAAACCGGGAGAUAGCUGGUUCUCCCCGAAAGCUAUUUAGGUAGCGCCUCGUGAAUUCAUCUCCGGGGGUAGAGCACUGUUUCGGCUAGGGGGCCAUCCCGGCUUACCAACCCGAUGCAAACUGCGAAUACCGGAGAAUGUUAUCACGGGAGACACACGGCGGGUGCUAACGUCCGUCGUGAAGAGGGAAACAACCCAGACCGCCAGCUAAGGUCCCAAAGUCAUGGUUAAGUGGGAAACGAUGUGGGAAGGCCCAGACAGCCAGGAUGUUGGCUUAGAAGCAGCCAUCAUUUAAAGAAAGCGUAAUAGCUCACUGGUCGAGUCGGCCUGCGCGGAAGAUGUAACGGGGCUAAACCAUGCACCGAAGCUGCGGCAGCGAACGUAUCACUUAAAGCGAUUCAGCGGGUUACGAUUGACGGAGCGAAGCGACGUCAAAGCGUAUACAAAGUCGAGUCGGUUUAAGGAUACGUUCGUUGGGUAGGGGAGCGUUCUGUAAGCCUGCGAAGGUGGCCUGUGAGGGUUGCUGGAGGUAUCAGAAGUGCGAAUGCUGACAUAAGUAACGAUAAAGCGGGUGAAAAGCCCGCUCGCCGGAAGACCAAGGGUUCCUGUCCAACGUUAAUCGGGGCAGGGUGAGUCGACCCCUAAGGCGAGGCCGAAAGGCGUAGUCGAUGGGAAACGGGUUAAUAUUCCCGUACUUGGUGUUACUGCGAAGGGGGGACGGAGAAGGCUAUGUUGGCCGGGCGACGGUU
rnacentral:rRNA from 1 species